GUGACGUUACCUGUUAAAGAUCAUUUAAAAAUAGCUGCAGACAGCCGCUUCCUGCAGAUCGCUAGCACAACUGUCUCCGAGCUGACCCGGAGUCCGUGCAUUCCUGGUAUCCAUGGCUUCUUACAUCUCCUUCAAAGGUAACAUAGGAAGCAUGCUGCCCUGGUCCAACCAUGCCAACGCCAAAGUUGUCACCGCAGACAAGAAGCGGCGCUGCCACAGCUCCAAAGACAUCUUCAGCGUGAUGGUGACUCCCGACCGUAUCCCCAAGUUCUUCAUCCCGCCUUUGGACAUCCCCCUUCCGCGGGAGCAGGGUCAGAGAGCUCAGGGAGGCGCCUCGUCACCAGACCUGCUGCUCUCCGACCGGUUGCAAGCCCCGGAAAGGCCCAGCUCCGAGAGGAGCUGCUCCGAGCCCAAUGUGGCGAGGGAGCGGCUUCAGAAGAGGCCGAGCUGCGGGGGCCAGGCUGCUGGGGACCACGCCGACCCCCCAACCCGAGCUGCCAUGUCCCUGCCCCAUCUGCAGAAAAUCACCACCCCUUACGGCUUCCCUGCCCUCGGAGAGGUGCCGCACAUUAAGAGGAAGGAGUCACUUUUCUUUGAAGGCGACGUGGCGGAGGUGAGGAGCAGCAGGGAGAGGAGCGCGGUGCUGGGGAGGAGAAGCUGUGUUCGGGUCAGCAGCCUCGCUGGGUGGGAAGGGCAGAGAGCCAGCAACAGCAGCAGCAGCAGCUCGGGCUGUUGGGGACCCACCGCCGAGCGCAGCCCCCAGGGCAGCCCCUACCCCAGCUUCAUGAAAGACAAGAGCAAGUUCCAGCUCCUCAUCAAGAAACACCUCAACAGCAUCAAGCGCAUGAAGUCCACUCGGGCCGCUUGGCGGGCCGCCCUCUGAGUAGUCCCAGCUUCCUGAGUUGACAGAUCAGAGACUCCUCGAUUCCGCCGAGCCAUUGUGUUUCAUCAUCAUCUCCAUCAGCCCAUCGGGCAGGCCAUCGGCAACACGGGCGGCUGGACUCCCAUCCCCGGCUUCUCUCAGGUUGCUUAUGAAGUCGUUCUCCGUUUGGUUUGGAGCAAGUUGUUUUAUUUUACCGGCUGCCUUCGGGAUACCGCAAUGCUAAUCGC